CCUACGGGUGGCAGCAGUGAGGAAUAUUGGUCAAUGGCCGGAAGGCUGAACCAGCCAUGCCGCGUGAAGGUCAGUGCCCUAUGGGCGUUAAACUUCUUUUGUGCGGGAGCAAUAAUGGUCACGUGUGGCCCGACGAGAGUACCGUACGAAUAAGCAUCGGCUAAGGCCGUGCACGCAGCCGCGGUCAUACGGGGGAUGCAAGCGUUGUCCGGAUUUAUUGGGUUUAAAGGGUGAGUAGGCUGUGAGGUAAGUCAGCGGUGAAAUGCCCACGCGCAACGGGGUGAAGUGCCAUUGAUACUGCCGUGCUGGAAUGCGGAUGCGGUGGGAGGAAUGUGUGGUGUAGCGGUGAAAUGCAUAGAUAUCACGCAGAACACCGAUUGCGAAGGCAUCUCACGAAUCCGCGAUUGACGCUGAGGCACGAAAGCGUGGGUAUCAAACAGGAUUAGAUACCCGAGUAGUC
rnacentral:rRNA from 1 species